CGUAGGGGGCGAGCGUUGUCCGGAAUCAUUGGGCGUAAAGAGCUCGUAGGCGGCUCGGUAAGUCGGGUGUGAAACCCCCAGGCUCAACCUGGGGACGCCACCCGAUACUGCCGUGGCUAGAGUCCAGUAGGGGAGUGUGGAAUUCCCGGUGUAGCGGUGAAAUGCGCAGAUAUCGGGAGGAACACCAGCGGCGAAGGCGGCACUCUGGGCUGGAACUGACGCUGAGGAGCGAAAGCGUGGGUAGCAAACAGGAUUAGAUACCCUGGUAGUCCACGCCGUAAACGUUGGGCACUAGGUGUGGGGACCCUCCAACGGUUUCCGUGCCGUAGCUAACGCAUUAAGUGCCCCGCCUGGGGAGUACGGCCGCAAGGCUA
rnacentral:rRNA from 1 species